CGCCAGACUCCUACGGGAGGCAGCAGUAGGGAAUUUUGCGCAAUGGGGGAAACCCUGACGCAGCAACACCGCGUGAAUGUUAAGCCCUUCGGGGUGUAAAGUUCUGUCAAUAGGGACGAAUUUUGACUGUACCUAUAAAGGAAGCACCGGCUAACUCCGUGCCAGCAGCCGCGGUAAUACGGAGGAUGCGAGCGUUAUCCGGAUUUAUUGGGUUUAAAGGGUGCGCAGGCGGCGUGUCAAGUCAGCGGUAAAAUGUCGGGGCUCAACCCCGGCCGGCCGUUGAAACUGGCGUGCUCGAGUUGGAGAGAAGUAUGCGGAAUUCGUGGUGUAGCGGUGAAAUGCAUAGAUAUCACGAAGAACCCCGAUUGCGAAGGCAGCAUACCGGCUCCACACUGACGCUGAGGCACGAAAGCGUGGGUAUCGAACAGGAUUAGAUACCCCAGUA
rnacentral:rRNA from 1 species